rnacentral:rRNA from 1 species
AGGGUUUGAUCCUGGCUCAGAUUGAACGCUGGCGGCAGGCCUAACACAUGCAAGUCGAACGGUAACAGGAUGUGCUUGCACAUCGCUGACGAGUGGCGGACGGGUGAGUAAUGCUUGGGAACUUGCCUUUGCGAGGGGGAUAACAGUUGGAAACGACUGCUAAUACCGCAUAAUGUCUUCGGACCAAACGGGGCUUAGGCUCCGGCGCAAAGAGAGGCCCAAGUGAGAUUAGCUAGUUGGUAAGGUAACGGCUUACCAAGGCGACGAUCUCUAGCUGUUCUGAGAGGAAGAUCAGCCACACUGGGACUGAGACACGGCCCAGACUCCUACGGGAGGCAGCAGUGGGGAAUAUUGCACAAUGGGGGAAACCCUGAUGCAGCCAUGCCGCGUGUGUGAAGAAGGCCUUCGGGUUGUAAAGCACUUUCAGUUGUGAGGAAAAGUUAGUAGUUAAUACCUGCUAGCCGUGACGUUAACAACAGAAGAAGCACCGGCUAACUCCGUGCCAGCAGCCGCGGUAAUACGGAGGGUGCGAGCGUUAAUCGGAAUUACUGGGCGUAAAGCGCACGCAGGCGGUUUGUUAAGCUAGAUGUGAAAGCCCCGGGCUCAACCUGGGAUGGUCAUUUAGAACUGGCAGACUAGAGUCUUGGAGAGGGGAGUGGAAUUCCAGGUGUAGCGGUGAAAUGCGUAGAUAUCUGGAGGAACAUCAGUGGCGAAGGCGACUCCCUGGCCAAAGACUGACGCUCAUGUGCGAAAGUGUGGGUAGCGAACAGGAUUAGAUACCCUG